GUUUAUAAGUGAGGCCAUCAAUAACUAACAAUUCAAAGAAAUUGAAAGUGUACUUAAAGGUGAGCCUGUGGUUUACAUUUAUAAUCUUUUAUAAUUGAAAAAAAAAGGCAUUAGGCUUUUAAAGGUAAUAUAUGACUUAACAGUUUUUCAAGUGAUUUUCAUAAUGGGUUUCUAGACACCGUCAUAUAUGGAUGUGAAAAAAAAAAAGACACGGAUUUAGGCAAGCAAAGUAUUAGUCCAUAGCAGCUUGGUGAGGGUUACUUUUCUUACAUAAAGAGUCUUCAAAUUUACAUUUAUUCUUAU
rnacentral:lncRNA from 1 species